AAUGCCUUUGAGAUUGGCACUGGCAGAAGAUUAAGAAGACAUUGGGAGUAUGGUAAAAAGAACAGUUUUGAAGGGGAGAUGGGUAUGUGGGCCCCACUCUUAACACCAGAUGAAUGGGAAUCUGUAGGAGUACUACUAGAAAGCAUACUUUGCUUAAUAAGAUCAACAGGUAAUUCACACACAAGCAAGGUUAUUUACUACUGAGGAGGAUCACUAAUAUUGAUAAAUGCCAUCAUCUCUCCCUUUUACACCCAUGCCAUAAUCUUACUUACCAACAA